GACGAACGCUGGCGGCGUGCUUAACACAUGCGAGUCGUACGGUAAGGCCCUUUCGGGGGUACACGAGUGGCGAACGGGUGAGUAACACGUGAGUAACCUGCCCACAACUUUGGGAUAACGCUAGGAAACUGGUGCUAAUACUGGAUAUGUGCUCCUGCUGCAUGGUGGGGGUUGGAAAGCUCCGGCGGUUGUGGAUGGACUCGCGGCCUAUCAGCUUGUUGGUGGGGUAGUGGCCUACCAAGGCGGCGACGGGUGGCCGGCCUGAGAGGGUGACCGGCCACAUUGGGACUGAGAUACGGCCCAGACUCCUACGGGAGGCAGCAGUGGGGAAUAUUGCACAAUGGGCGCAAGCCUGAUGCAGCAACGCCGCGGGCGGGAUGACGGCCUUCGGGUUGUAAACCGCUUUCAGCAGGGACGAAGCUUUUUGUGACGGUACCUGCAGAAGAAGCACCGGCUAACUACGUG
rnacentral:rRNA from 1 species